rnacentral:sRNA from 1 species
AUGGCUGUCGUCAGCUCGUGUCGUGAGAUGUUGGGUUAAGUCCCGCAACGAGCGCAACCCUUACUUUUAGUUGCUACCAUUCAGUUGGGCACUCUAAAAGAACUGCCAGUGAUAAGCUGGAGGAAGGUGGGGAUGACGUCAAGUCCUCAUGGCCCUUACGUGUUGGGCUACACACGUGCUACAAUGGUACUUACAGUGAGAUGCUAAGAGGCGACUCUAAGCCAAUCUCAAAAAGGUACCUCAGUUCGGAUUGCACUCUGCAACUCGAGUGCAUGAAGCUGGAAUUACUAGUAAUCGUGGAUCAGCGCGCCACGGUGAAUACGUUCCCGGGUCUUGUACACACCGCCCGUCACACCAUGGAAGUUGGUUACACCUUAAGGCAAAGCAUAAAACCUUUGACUACGGUACGAUCAGCGACUGGGGUGAAGUCGUAACAAGGUAGCCGUAGGGGAACCUGCGGCUGGAUCACCUCCUUUCUAAGGAAAUCGAAAAAUAUCAAAACAAUUAUUUUCGAUUUAAAAAAAAUCGGUUAAUGUGACCGUCCUCAUUUCUCUUCUUUUAAUGUCUCUGAGUAAAAAUAAUGUAAGGGGCCGGUAGCUCAGGUGGUUAGAGCGCACCCCUGAUAAGGGUGAGGUCGGAAGUUCGAAUCUUCCUCGGCCCACCAAUAUUUGGGGGAUUAGCUCAGCUGGGAGAGCGCCUGAUUUGCAUUCAGGAGGUCAGCGGUUCGAUCCCGCUAUCCUCCACCAAGAAACACUUAGUUAUUUUUUUUGUGAAUAUUUAAUAAUUUAUAUCAAUAUCUAUAUCCGAACAUUAAUUUAUCUAUUAAUGUUCAAAUAAAAAAUUUGAUUCAACACAGAAUUUUUUUCUGUGCAUAAAUCAAGCGUUUAAGGGCGUGUGGCGGAUGCCUUGGCACUGAAAGCCGAUGAAGGACGUGGUAUACUGCGAUAAGUUACGGGGAGCUGUAUGCAAGUUUUGAUCCGUAAAUUUCCGAAUGGGGAAACCCGG